rnacentral:rRNA from 1 species
GGUAUUGAAAUAAGAUUUUAAAUGAGUGCUAAGAGAAUGAUUAAACAAUUAAAAGCUUUCUUUAAUUAAAUAAUUAAAUUUAAUUUUUUUAGUGCAAAAGCAAAAAUAAAAUUUAGGGACAAGAAGACCCUAUGAAUUUUUAUUGUUAAUAAUUAAAAUUUAAAUUAUUAAUAAUUUAAUUGGGGCGAUAAAAAAAGAAUAAGUAUCUUUUUAGUUAUAAAAUAAGUUCCGUUUUUAGCGAUUAAAUGAAAUAAAUACUCUAGGGAUAACAGCGUAAUAAUUUUGGAUAGUUCAUAUAGAUAAAAUAGUUUGCGACCUCGAUGUUGGAUUAGGAUUCUUUUUUGGUGAAGAA